AACGAACGCUGGCGGCAUGCCUAACACAUGCAAGUCGAACGAACCCUUCGGGGUUAGUGGCGCACGGGUGCGUAACGCGUGGGGAUCUGCCCUUUGCUUCGGAAUAACAGUUAGAAAUGACUGCUAAUACCGGAUGAUGUCGAAAGACCAAAGAUUUAUCGGCAAAGGAUGAACCCGCGUAGGAUUAGCUAGUUGGUGGGGUAAAGGCCUACCAAGGCGACGAUCCUUAGCUGGUCUGCGAGGAUGAUCAGCCACACUGGGACUGAGACACGGCCCAGACUCCUACGGGAGGCAGCAGUGGGGAAUAUUGGACAAUGGGCGGAAGCCUGAUCCAGCAAUGCCGCGUGAGUGAUGAAGGCCUUAGGGUUGUAAAGCUCUUUUACCAGGGAUGAUAAUGACAGUACCUGGAGAAUAAGCUCCGGCUAACUCCGUGCCAGCCGCCGCGGUAAAAC
rnacentral:rRNA from 1 species